rnacentral:rRNA from 1 species
CUUUCAACAACGGAUCUCUAGGCUCUUGCAUCGAUGAAGAACGCAGUGAAAUGCGAUAAGUAAUGUGAAUUGCAGAAUCUCGUGAAUCAUUGAAUCUUUGAACGCACAUUGCGCCCUAUGGUAUUCCGUAGGGCAUGCCUGUCUGAGCGUCA